rnacentral:rRNA from 1 species
CACUGGGACUGAGACACGGCCCAGACUCCUACGGGAGGCAGCAGUAGGGAAUCUUCCGCAAUGGACGAAAGUCUGACGGAGCAACGCCGCGUGAGUGAUGAAGGUUUUCGGAUCGUAAAGCUCUGUUGUUAGGGAAGAACAAGUGCGAGAGUAACUGCUCGCACCUUGACGGUACCUAACCAGAAAGCCACGGCUAACUACGUGCCAGCAGCCGCGGUAAUACGUAGGUGGCAAGCGUUGUCCGGAAUUAUUGGGCGUAAAGGGCUCGCAGGCGGUUUCUUAAGUCUGAUGUGAAAGCCCCCGGCUCAACCGGGGAGGGUCAUUGGAAACUGGGAAACUUGAGUGCAGAAGAGGAGAGUGGAAUUCCACGUGUAGCGGUGAAAUGCGUAGAGAUGUGGAGGAACACCAGUGGCGAAGGCGACUCUCUGGUCUGUAACUGACGCUGAGGAGCGAAAGCGUGGGGAGCGAACAGGAUUAGAUACCCUGGUAGUCCACGCCGUAAACGAUGAGUGCUAAGUGUUAGGGGGUUUCCGCCCCUUAGUGCUGCAGCUAACGCAUUAAG